CGUUACUUGUCGGAGUGCCCAUCUGGGCUGAGAUCGCAGUAUUGCGGGAUCCGUGGACCUGAUCAGGUUAAUGCCUGCGUAGGGAACAAGCUACCUAAGUUG
rfam:Pseudoalteromonas rubra strain S2471 contig0021, whole genome shotgun sequence.